UGACUUGGUCAAGAUGAUCCUAAUCUAAUCACAUGAGCCUUUAAAAGAAGGGAAUUUCUUUAGCUGACGGCAGAAGAACUCAGAAGGAUUCCAAGUGUAGGAAGGAAUUGACAGGCUUUUGCCCGUUUGAAGGCAGAAGGGGCCACCUGAGAAGGAAUGUGGGCAGCUUCUAAGAGCAAUCAACAGACCCUGGCUGACAGCCAGCAAGGAAGCAGGCCCCUCCAUCCUACACCUGCAAGGAACUGAACUCUGCCAACACCUGAACCAGCUUGAAAGCAGGUUCUCCCCAACGCCUCCAGAGGACAGGCCAGCUGGCCCAAACCUUCUUUUCAGCGUUGUGAUGCCCUAAGCAGAGCCCAGCUUAGCCUGCCCGGAACUCCUGACCUACGAGACUGAAAGAACAUAAAUGAGUGUUGUGUUAAAAUUUUAUGUCUGUGACAAUUUCUUUUGGCAGCGAUAGAAAACUGACAGGCAGCCAGGAACCUGCCAAUCUACUCUUCGGGGAAACAUUUGUGUUCUGGAAGGGACUUAAAUCUCUUUCACUUGGAAAUGCGAAAUCUUUACUCUGAAGCUGAUGCCUCUGCUGAGUGUCUGACGAUUGGGGAGGAAGGACAAGAAAUGUCUGAGACAGAGACACUGCAAAAUCAAGGCCUCCAGCUCGUGGCAGCUAUCUGGCCAACCAGCCCAGAAACUAUGGGCUGCUGUCCACCCCCAGGGGCAUCAUGAAAGAAUAGCCUGGAUCCAUCACCUCUAUGCAGAGAUCCAGCCAACCAAGGGUCAAAGCAUCAUACUGAAUAAAGAGGGUAGGUGAUAAGGACA
rnacentral:lncRNA from 1 species